ACGAAGGGUGCAAGCGUUACUCGGAUUCACUGGGCGUAAAGGGUGCGUAGGUGGUUGGGUAAGUCUGAUGUGAAAUCUCCGGGCUCAACCCGGAAAUGGCAUUGGAUACUAUUCGGCUAGAGGUUUGGAGGGGGGACUGGAAUUCUCGGUGUAGCAGUGAAAUGCGUAGAUAUCGAGAGGAACACCAGUGGCGAAGGCGAGUCCCUGGACAACACCUGACACUGAGGCACGAAAGCUAGGGGAGCAAACAGGA
rnacentral:rRNA from 1 species